UACAGGGGGGGGCAAGCGUUGUUCGGAAUUACUGGGCGUAAAGGGCUCGUAGGCGGCCGGCUAAGUCCGACGUGAAAUCCCCAGGCUUAACCUGGGAACUGCGUCGGAUACUGGCGGGCUUGAAUCCGGGAGAGGGAUGCGGAAUUCCAGGUGUAGCGGUGAAAUGCGUAGAUAUCUGGAGGAACACCGGUGGCGAAGGCGGCAUCCUGGACCGGCAUUGACGCUGAAUAGCGAAAGCCAGGGGAGCAAAGCGGG
rnacentral:rRNA from 1 species